UUGCACAAAGAAAGGCGAGGAUAAAAGAGAGAUCCAGUGUGUAAGCAGCGCUAUUUCUAAUGUGCUACAAAGGGUUGAAGGGUAAUUAGCAGUAUAACUAAACAAUCAUUUGCCAGUCUCCUUCAGACAAAC
ensembl:snoRNA